AGUUUUGGUGCACCAAACACACAGGGGCAGCUGAGAGAGACCAACAAGAAGCCGGGGUCAAAAAAAUUGGCCCGCUUCCAACGAACUCUGCACAUUUUCGUGAUAAACUGUGUUCGAAUCGAAGGAGUUCAGCAUGGGUGUUUGAAGCAAACUAGACGUGCAUGAAGACCAAGGUAAAUUACACGACGAAUAGCUGCCGAUUGAAGGCUGUUCUUUGACAUGGAAACAAUUUAAGACCAGAAAUAAGCACACUGACAAGUUUCUUCUGAAAAGUUCCAUAAAAAAAAAUUCACCCAAAAUGAUGUUUUCUUGAAUAGCCACUCAUGAGACGUGAUUAGAAUGAGACCUUUCUUGCAUGUUUUCUUGAUCCGUACUAUAAUAAAAGAAUGAUCCUAUACCUCUCUGCAACAAAUUAGAGGCAAAAACAAAGAAAAAGAAAACAGAGCGCGCGCCCUUUCAUCUUUACAUCUUCCGAAUGAACCAAAGAAUUGUCAGGAAUUGAUGCUAGCUGUACAUCAUGUUGCACGCCACAUAUCUGCUGAUCAAUUAGCAGCAGUGCGUGGGAGGAUUUGACCCUGAUUUCAAGUCGCCGAGCAUCUCCAUCACCAUCCCGAUCCCGUCCUCCAGCCAGCCGUCUCCCUUCAACGUCCUCGCCGAGACGGCCAUAACGUUCAAGAUCUGCACCAAGAACACGGACAGCAACACCAUCCUGAUCAUCGUCAUCGCGGUCGCCGCCAUCUCGCUUCUUAGGCUUCUAUAUAGCAGUAUUGCAGUGCAGGCAGGAGAGAUGACAGAUUGCCUUGUUUCCGUUUCGAGUUUCCGUUGUUCAGCAGGU
rnacentral:lncRNA from 1 species